UACGUAGGGUGCAAGCGUUAAUCGGAAUUACUGGGCGUAAAGCGUGCGCAGGCGGUUUUGUAAGUCAGAUGUGAAAUCCCCCGGGCUCAACCUGGGAACUGCGUUUGAAACUACAAGGCUAGAGUGUAGCAGAGGGGGGGUAGAAUUCCACGUGUAGCAGUGAAAUGCGUAGAGAUGUGGAGGAAUACCAGUGGCGAAGGCGGCUUACUACACAGUGAUUGACACUGAGGCACGAAAGCGUGGGGAUCAAACAGG
rnacentral:rRNA from 1 species